UACGGGGGGGGCAAGCGUUGUUCGGAAUUACUGGGCGUAAAGGGCUCGUAGGCGGCCAACUAAGUCGGAUGUGAAAUCCCCAGGCUUAACCUGGGAACUGCAUCCGAUACUGGAUGGCUUGAAUCCGGGAGAGGGAUGCAGAAUUCCAGGUGUAGCGGUGAAAUGCGUAGAUAUCUGGAGGAAUACCGGUGGCGAAGGCGGCAUCCUGGACCGACACUGACGCUGAGGAGCGAAAGCCAGGGGAGCGAACAGG
rnacentral:rRNA from 1 species